rnacentral:rRNA from 1 species
AGGCCUUCGGGUCGUAAAGCUCUGUCCUCCAGGAAGAUAAUGACGGUACUUGAGGAGGAAGCCCCGGCUAACUACGUGCCAGCAGCCGCGGUAAUACGUAGGGGGCUAGCGUUAUCCGGAUUUACUGGGCGUAAAGGGUGCGUAGGCGGUCUUUNAAGUCAGGAGUGAAAGGCUNCGGCUCAACCNUAGUAAGCUCUUGAAACUGGGAGACUUGAGUGCAGGAGAGGAGAGUGGAAUUCCUNGUGUAGCGGUGAAAUGCGUAGAUAUUAGGAGGAACACCANUAGCGAAGGCGGCUCUCUGGACUGUAACUGACGCUGAGGCACGAAAGCGUGGGGAGCGAACAGGAUUAGAUACCCUGGUAGUCCACGCCGUAAACGAUGAGUACUAGGUGUCGGGGGUUACCCGCCCUCGGUGCCGCAGCUAACGCAUUAAGUACUCCGCCUGGGGAGUACGCUCGCCAGAGUGAAACU